rnacentral:lncRNA from 1 species
CGGCCUUUCAGAGGCGCGGGGCCGUGAGAUGCGGGGUGGGGCUUGCGCCCUCCCUGGAAUCGGGGCUGGGAUCCCGACUGCGGCCUUUGGCCGUGCCGCCCCGCUGCCUGGCUGCUGAGAGUUGCUCCUGCCGCUGGGGGGGGAAACCGAGCUCUGUGGCUCCAGGGGUGUUGUCCACCCGCCUGUAAUCAGGGUCUGGGUGCGUGAGCGUUUGUGCUCUGCUGGCAGCCUGUGUGGGGUGACCGCCCCGCCAGCGGGGUGUGGGUCGAGGUGCCCCGGACUGGGAGAGAAGGAGCCUCCCUCGGCCGUAGGGAUGGGGGCUGCCCUGUAAGUCAGGGAGCAUCUGUGUCCCGGAGUCCCAGGCCCUUUUCGAUGGCGGCAGUGGCCGGGGGUCCCCUGUAAGCAGGGAAGCUGACUCUUUGGCUGCUGCUUUUUGUGUGCCCAGCCCCAUUUGCCCAGUCUGCCCGCCUCUGUGAUCCCCCGCAGCACUGGCUGGAAGUCCGCCGCGUGUCAGUGAGGAGCUGCUGCAGAAGGAAGAAGAAGAAGCGGCGUGGGGACCUGGGAGGCAGGAGCAAGCAAGAAGAGGAAGCGGAAGCGUGCAGAUGCGGGGGGGAAGGAGAGAGGCUCCCUGGGCAAAGCACCUGUCCCGUUAGCAGGGGCACAGUCACGUUUGAGUUGAGAGCUGCCGGCGCCUUUGGUGACCAGGCUGGCGUUGUGCUGGGCGACCUCCCCGUAAGCGGGGCUCGGGUCUUUGCUGUAGUUGGCCUUUUGCCUUGCUGCUCCUUUGGCUGCCUGGGGAGCGUGGCCCCCUGUAACGGAGGGCGAGAGCCACCUCUCCGCACCUGAGUGGGAAAUGGAGCUCGCCGGACCCCAAGGCCACCCUGUAAGCAGGGUAGUGCCGUUUCCCUGCCCCUCUUCCUCCCCCGGCCCCUCGGCAUCGUUGCCUGAUGGUGGCUUGUCAAUGCGACGGCCCCGUACUCGGGGUGUGCGUCACGGCAUUUGGCCGUUGGCUUUAUCUGAGAAGCCCCUUGGCACGUUGAGGUCUGUGGCCUCCGUGCAGCCUAGGGACAGGUCACAGGCUCUUGUCUGUUGCCCGUGGUUGUGGGUUUAUUCCCAGGUGUUGGCUGUGCUGCGUUGUCCUUCCCUUCUGGAAAGUCGUGCCUGUGUGUGCGUGUUCCCCUUCCUUUCCUUGUUUGUGUUUGUGGAGUGGUUGAGCGGCUGUGCUUUCCCUUUAGGCCUCCACAAAGAUGGCUGCAGCUUAGCUUUGACUUCCCAGGGGGGAAUGGAGGACUUUGGUGCAUGCCGCAAAAGGGGUGUUCCCUCUUAGUCCUGCGAGCGCAGCGAGUGUCCUGUCUUCCUACUAUUUUCCUUAGUGCAGAUCAGAGCCACACGGUAGUUCUGUGGCCAAGGCCUCCCUGUAGCCAGGGCUUGGGCCUGUCCUUGCGUGGCCGCCUGUCCUGCUGGCGGCGGUGACAGCCCCGUACUCGGGGUGUGUGUCCCAAGCUUCGGAGCCCUCUGUCCCUGAGCAGCCCGCCCGCCCUGUAAUCAGGUGUGGGGAGGCUGCAGCGUUGCAGCCGGCUGCUUUAGCCAUCCAGCUGGUGGGAGUGACCCCUCCCUGUCCCGUCAGAGGGUGCAGGUUGAGGUGCUGUUUGUGUGUGGGGUGACCUCCCCGCUCGGUGGGUCGAGGUAGCUCCCUGGGCUUCCAAAGACGAGACGUUGGUGAUGUUCUGCUGCUGCCGGGCGGGCCAGCCUGUAACUCAGGCGUUGGCGGGAGCCUCGUGCUCUGCGGGGCUUCUUGAAGAGGGUGAGGUGUGGGGGUACCGUCCUGUAGGCAGGGCUGUGUGUGCCCCCCGUGUGUGCUUGGUGAGCUGCGUUCUGAGAGACCCCCUGUACUCAGGUGGGAAUGUGGCCCCGGCCUUUCAGAGGCGCGGGGCCGUGAGAUGCGGGGUGGGGCUUGCGCCCUCCCUGGAAUCGGGGCUGGGAUCCCGACUGCGGCCUUUGGCCGUGCCGCCCCGCUGCCUGGCUGCUGAGAGUUGCUCCUGCCGCUGGGGGGAAACCGAGCUCUGUGGCUCCAGGGGUGUUGUCCACCCGCCUGUAAUCAGGGUCUGGGUGCGUGAGCGUUUGUGCUCUGCUGGCAGCCUGUGUGGGGUGACCGCCCCGCUAGCGGGGUGUGGGUCGAGGUGCCCCGGACUGGGAGAGAAGGAGCCUCCCUCGGCCGUAGGGAUGGG